UUCAACAUAGAUUAACAAAUACAUUUUUUAAUAGAUUUAUAACUUUUUAAAACAUGAAUAAGGGGAAAAAAAACUCAUCUGCAUAUAUAUUCUUUCAAACGAAAUCAAUUUGUAUGAAAAACACUCGACCGGCUAUUACUGUCAACUGUUAAAUAGCCAGUUAACAGCUGGCUAUUUUCUGGUUGGCUAACAGUCGACUGACUAGCUAUUUUUUCAAUAAAUUUCUAUUGUCACUUAGGAAUUCUUUUUUUGACUAUUUAUUUAUAAUAAAUAAUUUUGUUUUGUCAUGCAAAUAUGGUUGUAAUCUUGAUUUGUUAUUUUAAUGAUUUUGAAUUGGAUGAAAAAGAUCGAUGUCUAUGGAAAUGGACGAGUGACAUUCGUGGUGGUGUUCAAUUUUCAUAACAUCGAGUACAUCAUAUGCGAAAAUGUACAAUGAUUUACAAAAUAAUCUAAAUGUCGAUCACUCUCAGUACAAUAUGGACUGAAUGUUGGAAAUGUAUGUGGAGCAGUGAAUAGAAGUUCAAUUCAAAAUGGGAGGCUAUAAUCCACAGGACUUUAAACAAUCCAUUGGAAAUGGAAACCAAAAACAAAUGCUAGAGUGCACCUCCUUCUUUUGUUUUAAGGACUUCUGCUCCUGAUAUACUUACUGGUGUGGUUGAUACCCCUUUGUUAAGCAUAAGAGGAAAAGAUUUUAUAGAUAUCAUGAAUGAUGAUAACAAUGAAAUAAUCAGCACAUGGAAAAAUAACCUUUUGAAGAGAAUAUGUGGCAUUUUUUUUUUUUUAUGACAAGGGAACCCGCAGCCGCUAUCUUUCAGGUACGCAUUGAGUAAACCCUCGGGCUAAUGCAAUAGUCUGCAAACCACGCCAGCUAGGUAAAUAACACUAGGCAAGUACUGUGCGACAGAUUGAAUCGAGAAAGUGUUGUAGGGGGGAUGGAACUCAUAAUUAAAGAUAUCCACGCUCACAUACUCUACCAACUCGACCAUCCCAUGGAGAUUGGACUUGCUGUAACACUCAUUGCAUACAACUCCUCAAGAUCUAUCU
rnacentral:lncRNA from 1 species